rnacentral:tRNA from 1 species
GGGUGUAGCUUUAGGGAUAGAGCACUUGCCUAGCAUGCAUGAAGCAUUGGGUUCAAUCCCCAGCACCACCA